CCUUCAACAUGUUUUAAGUUGCCUCUAAAUCAGGAAAAUGGACCUGGGCACCUGGCAUGUAACAACACAGUAAAGCAGUUUUCCCCCGAAAAAAAAAAAUAAAAAAUAAAAUUUUGAGGAUCAAUCUGCAAAAGUCAUGAAAAGUAGCAGUAGAUCAGUUCUCAACCCACCGGGAUCCUGCCAUGGAGUCUGUAUGUCUGCUAAAUAAGGUGUGAAAGGAGCUCAGGGAAGUUAAGGCUGUUAAUGAAAAAACUAAACCCCGUGUUUCUCACAGGACCAUUUCAUGCUGAAUUGCUGCUUUUUGGAAAAAAGAGUUGGAGGAGCUGUUUCCAGUUGAAGUCGUGGUAGAAGGUAAAAAGAAAAUAAAUUGAACAAUAGGAAAUUGGCAAGAUCAGAUGGUGCUUAUCGAGGAGUUACAGAGGGAUUGGGGCACAAAAUAGCUGGACUGCUGAGCGUGCCAUGUAACCGCGUGCUACAGACGGCGUGGAGGACCAGAGAGUGCCGCCUGUAGCCGAAGCCUGAACAGCUCCAAGAGGAGCCCCUAAGGUCGAUGUGCACAUCGAUCAAAUCCGUGGGAAGAAUAACAAAGACAAGAGCGAGUGGAACAGGAAUAAAUAUGAUGCACCGGAGAACCAUCAGCAUAAUUUUUUAUGGAGGGACAUUGUGCCUCAGAAAUCUGCAGGAGGCUUUGGAGGAGCCAGAUUACCACACCUGGGCAAGGCAAGCUGGGUCAAUGAACUUGGAUUUCCAAACGGUGUUUGGGCAAGAGCUUUCUUAAGAAGUUCUUAGAAGGCUCAGUGGUCAUGAGAUAAAGGUUACAGCCUUCAGGUGGAUGGAUACCCAGUGCAAAGAUAGGAAAGAAAAGAUUUGCAGCUGAAACACUCUGGACUGAACACCAAAGAUUCAUUAUUGGUUGCAGUGUUACUUCAACGUUUGAGGUCCUUGGGAUCCUGUUGUGCUAAGUGGUGUAAAAACAAAGAAGGUACCUGGAGGAAUUUACAAUCUGGUUAUAAGACAAGAGACAACAGAUAGCUAGAGGGGAAUGGGGAGCACAGGGAAACUGUAAAACAAUUUUGGUCAUCAUGACAAACAGUGAUCUCAGCACUCAAGCAUUCUCCCUAGCGUUAAGUGUUUUGUAGACAUCAUGGAAAAUAUUGGGUGGAAACAAAACUCCUGUUUGUUAUUAUAAACAGUGUUCAGAAAUCUUUUUGUGGUGUGUUACAAUUGUAAAGCAAUCCAUUUUAAAUUGGCUGAUACCAAGUUUCCUCAUUGUGUAGCAACAGGAUGGGUAACUUAAUACAGAUAAGUAGAGCACUGGGGUUGUGAGCUUCGUCUGGCAAACGAAAUUCCAAGCGAGAUACACCAGAAUAAGACUUACCAAGCAAAGAACAGCUUUGCUGAUGCAUAAGCUUUGGGCCAGGACAAAGGCUGUAGUUAGGAACAUGCCAUGUCACAGUCAUGUUGUCAUAAAAAGAAAUGUAUUUUACAAUAUGAAAUAGUAACUUUAGAUAAUUUUAUAGAAAAUAAAAUACACGUGUUCUUUGAAAUGCCUGGACCAUGGACUUUGGCUGCUGGCUCCAUGUCCACGCAGAGGGGAAAGGGGCAUGGCUGAGUCAGAAACCUGGAAGAAACCUUUUUCUUCUACCAUUAUUACAACAGUAUUGAAGGGGCAAGUGGUAACUUGCUGGAUCAACAAACAUGUUAUUACCAGUUUCUGCUCAGCGUACUCUAUUCCCCCUGCUAACAUGGGUCACGUGCUUCAUAUGAGCUGAGUCUUCAAGUGAUAAAAUUCUAUCAGGACUAAGAUCCUAAUACAAUUGAACAGCAAUUUUCUGACAACAAACAAUUUUUUUCCAAAAGGAAACUGUUUGUAGGUCCCCUGUUUCACUUCCGCAUUAAAAAAGCUAAGGUUUUUAGCAUAAAAUUGCUUUUCAAGCUAUGUAUAGCACCUGGAAAAAUAUUCUAGAUGAUCAAAAGACAAGUGAAAUAUUUCAGCAUACCCAGUUUUUCUAUCAGUGUUUAAGUUCCUGAACAGGAACACAUACUUCCUAAGUGGCAUGGUAAUCAAACUGCUGGACUCAGUUCAGACAUCUCUCUGCUCGACUCAAUAGAAAACCCUAAAGCACUGGGAUACUGCAGGAGUUAACAGCAGGAGCUAGAGGUCUGCUUAGCUGUGGAUGUCUAAGAUGAGAUCCAGAAUAAGACGAAGUUGCCUGGCACACAACUGAUGUGAAACAUCUAUAUCCAAGAAUAAUAACUGAGAUUGUUAUAGGGUCCUAAAUAUUCUGGUAAAAGCUCUAAGUGUGUCUACAGCUCUGCUGCAGCCUGUGCUUUAAAACACCUUUUGCUGCAACUGAAUGUUUUGAAACCGUACCCCCGGAAAGCCAUAUAUCUUUUACACAAGAAAACAAUGCAUGGUGCCUGAGCUGCCUGAUGCACAGGCAAUGUUAAGUCCAACAUGGAGCAUAACAGCCACAGCGACACUUAAAAUACAAGCUGAAGGGAGAAGAUGGGGAAUUCAGAUCAGCAGCUUCUGCCUCUGCUUCCCAGGACUGUGGGUCGCCUGGCAGAUUACACAAUACGACUUGGUUAAGUGUCUGUCUUGAAUCUUCAAUUCUUGGCUGCGCCACAGAACAAAUUUCAACACCUUCCCUCUUUUUGCUCUAUGCGUACAUGCUGCAUGCUUGCACAAAGCGUGGUGCAUAGCCUGCUGUUCAGAGCACUGGGAAAUGGGAGGUUAGCAUUCAGGAUCUCUGUAGCUGAAGGGGGAACUGAACUCCAGGUAUGUUCCUCCUGCUUCUGUGCUCUCCUUACGAGGCUACAGUGGUGUAAAAAUGAGCUCUUCUCCAAGGUUUCAAAAUAAGUAGGGUGGUCAUGCUUCUGUGUGUGUUAUCAGGAAUGGGUGAAUCUGUAUUUGAAGGAAAAUCAGAGCAACACCACAGCUGAAUUAAUAGUUUUAAAAUAGUCUAGAAAGGAAAGCUAAUGUCGAAUAGCCUGUGUGUCCCGUGGAGCUUGCCACGCAUAGCUGAGUAGUUAGUGCAGUGCAACAUAUGAAUACAGUUAUCAGCUGAUAGAGUUCUGAUUAGUGCAGUUGACAUCAACCUAUGGCUGAACUGGUUCUUCAAACAUUGUCAAAGUAGCCCUGGUCUGGGUUGUCAAGUGCCUCCAAGAUCCAACAAAAGCAGGAACAAAGCACUGAUAAUUGUUACCAUGUUUAUUUGAUGUUUCUUAGUUUCAUAAAAUAAUUAUGUUCCAAUGAAAAAAUACAUGCAUAAAAUAUGCGAGUUCAGGAUUAAGAUGGGAGUGUUGUCAGUGCAGCUCUCACAAGGUAAGACAGAAACACAGUCCAAAUGCAAAACCUAAGCAGAGGCAACUGGUUUUUUGUUUGGUCCCUUUCUGCCCUCAACUCCCCAUCUUCCUCUCUUUCAUCUCAUUCCCCUGGUUAGUGUCCCGGAUCAUCUCGGAUAUGGUUUUAAAAAUGGCUGGAAAGGGGCAAAUGCUGGACCAAAUGAGAUGGCUAAUUUAUUCUAAUCAAAUUCCAGACACUUAAUUAAUGCAAAGUUCAGAUUGCAGAAGUCAGCCAGGUCUCUGUUUCUGUUGGAACCUUAGCAUGUAGAUUUCUUUAUUAUGCAUGAUUUUUAACUGUAUGAAUCCGUCAGAAAAAUAUUCUUCCUCUCUAUUUCUUCCUUUCCUGCUCCCUCCCUCCCACCCCCACCCCAACCCCCCACCUCCGAUAAAAAGAUUAGGGCUUUGGAGCUUGCAAAAAUGAGAGGAAAAGUUUAACUGGGAAAGUUCAUUGCUUUUAUGCUAAGAAGGUAGAAAGUGAAUAGCCUUGCUGGCUGUUAGUGUCACCUCCUGUGAGGGAGCCUGUUGUGCCAUCCUUACACCUACCCCCAGGAAAAUGUCUUACAGUAGACAGAGGCACUGUAAAGCCAAGCUACCUAUGUUUACGUUUUAUUUACUACUACUAGUAGCAAUUCACCAAUACCCAAUACCACCUCUACUGUCUGGUGUUAAGUUCAGGUUCAAAUUCCAACAUCCAUUCAUGCAAAGCUGUUUCUGAGGAGAUACCCUCAGCCGGGCAUGGUGCAUCGUAGUCGUACGGCUUGGUGGGGCCGAGCUGCUGAGCAAGGCUUCCCUGGGGUGGAAAGCAGGGCAUGGCCAGGGACUUUGUGGUGAGGAAAGCCCAUAAGCCUGCUCAAACAUAUCCACAGACAUGGUCUCAGCCUGUGACUUCAUCAUUUGUCGCUGAACCUUUCCUAUCUACUGUGGGCAAAAACUGGGUUGUGACUGCUCCACCCUGGACAUGGUGUUAGGUUUACAUUCCCUCUCAUUCUUGCAGUGGCACAGGGGAAAAUGAGGGAGAGGAAGAGUGUGAAGAACAUCAUUGCCUUAUCAUUCCUUUAUGUUUGUUCUCUGCAGUACGAGGGAGGAGAAGCAGCCCAGAGGAAUGGGAAUGUGGUUCAGAUAUUGCAUAGGUCUCACUGCAAACGCAGAUUCUGUUUCAUCCACAUGACUGUUGAAGAUCAGUCAAAAGAUGCCAACAUAAAAUAUCCCAGCUUUUAAUUGAGUUCUGUCUGUCCAAGUCCUUAGGCUUUUUGAAACUCACAGCCUGAUUUAUAGCAUAGAGCUCCAGUGUAUCACUCGGAGCUGAACUGAAAAGCUGACAAGGGUGAGCCUGAUUUACUUAAAGGAAUAAUAAUCUACUUUAUUUAAAAAAAAAAAAAAAAAGAAAGAAAGAAAGAACAAGACCAAUAACAGAGCAACUCCCUGCUCUACAGCUGCAGACUCCUUCUCUGAAUGAUCUCUCCUUUGAGAAACUCUUGCGGGCUGUUCCUGUCCACCACUCCUGCCUAACUGCUGGAGCUGACUCCCUCCAGAUGGCUUCCAAGGACAACUGGGCAAUUAGCUUUUGUCUCUUGAGCUAAUAUCGACACAACCCACCUGAAUCUUCCUGACAGACCUACAUGCUAUUGGGGCAGCAGAGGACUACUACUGCAAGGCAAGUGCCCACAAGAGUUUCUCAAAGGAGAGAUCAGUCAGAGAAUGAGAAAGAAAUAAGAGGCAAAGCGAUCCUUUGCAUUCUCGUGUGGUACAUUUGCUCGCCCAUUCAUGCCAUGUAUAGUAUUUCACUAACAGAAGGCUGCACUGGAGAGGUCAGCAGGGUAGACUCCUGCCUGAGCACAGUGACAUACAACAAGAAGUACAGACUUUUUUUUCAUAAUAAAAAAGAGUAACCCAUGUGAUGCAUGAAUAAUCAAGUUCUUUUGUUUCAUGCAGUGCAUGAAAUAUUUCAAAUCCCAAAUCAGCUUGAUAUACUGGUAAGAAAACAGCAGCGAGCUCAGAGGUUUGCAGAAACUGCAGUGAUUCAGUUAGGUAGCAUCAGUUUUACUUAAGGCUUUUUCAGAAGCCCAGAACACAAAAGAAUGUCUGGGAGAGGCUUAAUAAGCAGAAGGGCAGAACGGUAUUCUGUGAUAAAUUGUGUACAUAAUGAGUAAUGACAGUGCUUUUUGCUUUUUCUUUUCAUUUUGGGUCACAAAGAAGCAAAAUAAUUAACCGAGUCAUCUCAAAGGGAUUUUUUCUUUUUUUUGUGCUCAGUGAGCAUCACUGAGGACUGUAUUUUUUCAGCUGCACUGAUUCAGAGUAUUUUGUAUCACCUUUUACAAAGCCAAACAAAGCUUAAUGGUAUUUCCAUUAAACUUCAAUUGAAAUACUUCCAGAACAGUUCUUCCAUAAAGAUAGGCUAUUUGUCCUGAUACAGCUCUCUGAUAAGACCUUAUCUGGAAUAGCGUGUACUGUUCUGGUAAGCAUUUUCAAGAAAGCAGAAAAGUCCAGCACAAUAAGGGGAAUUAAAUUCUUACCAGAUGAGAUGGAAGUACCAAGCUUAUUCAGUACAGGAAACAGAGGCGGGUACACACUUGCCGUCUAGCAGUGUAUCAGAAAGGGAUGAAUACACACAAGGAAUGGGUGUUGGACAGUGUUGGCCCAGGAACAAAUUGAGAUGAAAUGGUCAUGAAGUCCGUCAUGGAGAAUUGAAAGGGUUUUAAGCAUCACAUCCUUGGAUGACAUUCCAAUGGAUGGAAAGGGCUUUAUCUAGUUUUAGGACAGGACUUGCUCACUUUGCAAAAGAAAUUGCAUAAUAUACUCUGACAAAAAAUGGAUAUUCCUCUCAGUCACAUGUUCCCAAUGGUAGCAAUGUAUUUUCUACCAUCUUCAAUCUUUUUAAACCAGAAACAGGAUUUUUAAAGUGAAGCCAGCCAAACUGGGCAUGACAAAUAUUGACUCUCUCUGAAGAGAACACAUUAUUAAAAACACAAGCAAAUCUGUCUCUCUCACCAUGCAGCCAUUCCAUGGUAAACCAAAAAGCAUCAGGUUGCAUCAAGGAAAAAAGAGGAAACUCUGAUUUAAUGGCUCUGUUUCUCUUCCCUUUGCCAUUAAUAAGUAAUGACUGUGAAAUAAAUAGAAUUAUAUCAAUGAGACUAGAAUAAAAUCCAGCCUUUGUAUGAGAACAAAAUAGGGGGGGAAAUGCUCUCUUCUAUGUGUGAUACGUUUAACUAACUGGUUACUGAAAUCGGUGAAAUACUUUUGUCAAUUGGGUAUAAAAUUAUAGAAUAAAAUGUUGUUUACACUACAAAAUAGUGAAAAACUUGCAGUUAGUUUUUAUGGUGUGACAUAAAAGAUGACCAAGUUUGAUCAUGUCUGGCUAAGUUUGUCUUUCCAAAACAGGCAUUUUGUUGAAAAAAGUUGCAUUAAUUUUCAACUAAUGCAAUUAACAUGCAGGACUUCAGAGUAACAUACAUGUUGCUGGAGCAAUUUUAUAGAAACCUGGAAAAUUGUCAGUUCUUGCAGCUGGACUUUGCAAUCAACUAGCAGCAGCUUUUAAAAAAACAAAUUGACCCUCCUUAACUCCAUUUCUGAAACCAAUGGUUCCAGGUACCUUGCAGAGCUUUUCCAUAUAGACUUUACUCUAAUGUUAUUGUAUGGAAAUACUGUUUUCUACCUUAAAUGAUAAGUGAGAUUAUUUCUCAGACGUUGUUUGCUGUUAGUAUAAUAACUUGAGUAGGCUCCUUAUAUGGGAACGACAGAUUUUAGGGGCCAUUUGUUACAAUGAAAAUUGUCAUCAAGAGAACAAAUUUAGCAAGACAAUAUUUGCUAUUUUAGAAAGACAGGGAAUGUUAUGCAGUCAUACUUUGACAGUCCUCUGGAUCAACAGGGGUUUUUAUGCUGGCUUUGCGAAACCGAUGGCUUUCAUGAGCCGUGAACUGAUACUCCCCUCAAAGGGUUUUAAUGUAGUACUUGAACAACAAAUAAGUCGUCUGCAGAGUGUAUUCAAGUAGCAUUAUGACCUAAUAUACCAUAUUAAUACUGUAAGUGUAUAAUAGUGAUGUAUCAUUAAUGUAAACCAUAGAUACCAUAUCCUUCACCAUCCCCUCUGACAACUACUAAAACAAGUAUCCCAUGUAAUGAAUCCACAAUUUCCUUUAUUCCUUCAAGUUUGCCUCAUAUCUUUUUAUUUCCUCUACUUUCUGCCUGUGAUGACUCUGAAGCCCGCCCAGGGCAUGGAGAAAAGCAUCACUUUUCACAACAAAAUUGAGACAGUUUCAUGAUAUCACUCCCUAGCUGUAGGUCAGGAAAGGGCUGCACAGGUGGAUGGGUGAGUGUCUUGCAUGUGCAAAACUGUGGACAACUUUAUUUGGGAUCUCCUAUCAUAGAAUCAUAAAAUCAUUAAGGUUGGAAAAGACCUCUAGGAUCACCAAGUCCAACCACCAACCCAACACCUCCAGGCCUCCUAAACCUUGUCCUGAAGUGCCACAUCUACACGUCUUUUCAAUACCUCCAGGGAUGGUGACUCCACCACCUCUCUGGGCAGCCUGUUCUGAUGCCUGACCACUCUUUCAGUGAAGAAAUAAACCCCUUGAAUACUAACUGUAGAGACUGCCUGGAGCAGAUGUCCAAAAUCUGCUUUAUAGGAAACACCUGAAGAGCCUUGUACAGGACAGUGGGAUCAGAAUUAAUGCAGCGCCACUUUCACAUGAAGUGACAUGGAUCUCUAACGUGCUUUCACUUUAGAAAAAUGUCCCUUUAUCUCCUAAAUCAGGAAGGUGAUUUCAUCCAUUACUUGGAAAGAUAACAAAUCUUCUAAAUCAUGAUUUUCCUUUAAAUUGUGUACCACAAGAGUGGUGGAUCUCUACAGCCCUUAUGAAAGCAAAACUGAAUUUCAUUUAAGGAAUAGACCUUAGGCCUCCUCAUUCUACCCCUGUUCUUUACCCAUAAGACUCUUUUCCUUCCUCCCACCCAUAACAGAGAAAUAGAAAGGUCAGUCCAGAGUACGUUUCGGUAUCUUUUAUAGUAUUAUGCAUUGACCGAAAGUUUAAAUAUGGAAAGUAUUACAGUACUGUGCUAUGUUACAUGAUUAGAAGCACAUUUUGCUGGAGAUACGAUCUGUGUUACCAACAAAAUAAGUAUGUAUAGGAUCUGGUUUAACUUAGUUAUCCUUUUGUCCUUUUUUUCUGCUUAUUGUUAUGUAACAGUUGUGAUGGUGAAAUGUAUAAUGACUAUUCCGGACAGUAUGAUAGAGCAUCAUAUGGCAUUUAUAUUGGAGGGUAAAGCAUAUAAACAUAUGAAAAUCAUUUAAAGAUACAAUUAAACUUCUAAACAAAGAACUUCAUAAAUAUUUCAUUUGAAAACUCAGCAUCAACCAACUACCUGAGGGCUAAGGGGACUUUUUUUAAUACAACAUAAUAAAGAUUUAAUAAAAAUGCUGUUGUUAGAGGUGCAAGUGUGUUAACUCUCUCUGACAGAGAGCUAUUAAAAUGUAUCCUUCAGUCAGUUCCUUCUUGCAUUUUAUUUAAACCAGCAAGGUCCUGUGGGUUUACUGCCUAGGAUUACGGUAAACAAUAGACGCAAUAUUUACAAGUUAUAUUGUACUGUAUAUAUCCAUAUAACCACUUAAUUUAGAUAACUCUUUUCAUCCUGGGGAUUUUCUGCUAGUUGAUAUGAAUUCUGAACUAUCCGCAUAGCCUGUGAUCAGUUUAUUCAAGUUAAUCCUUUGCCGCACUCAGUACAACAGAGCACUUUGUGGGUUUUCUUUCACUGUAGGGCUAGUGCUGGAUUGCCUAGUUUUCAUGAGUAAAUCCACCGUUCCAAAGACAUGCUAUAUUUGCCAUUACAUGAAGAUUUUAAAUUAGGAGUGAAUAUGAUUCUGAAUCAUGUUCUGUAGCAAAUAAAAUAUUCGUCAGUAAUGCAGAAAUUAUUGUAGGAGAUUUAUAGUAUGUUAUGUAAGACAGAUUAGGCUGUCACAAAUCCCUCUUUUCUUUAAAAAGUGGGAACUAUUGAAAAAAUGUGAUUUUUAACUAUCUGAAGUACUCCAAACUGAUAUUCCUUGAAUAUGACUACUGUAUUUCAUACCAGGACAGUGUUUUGUAAUGAAAUUGUUAAAAAGUCAGUAAAAGACAUUUUAAAGUUUUGAAGUAAGUCCUGGCCAACUGGAAUCAAGGUCAGUCAGAUGUUCUUGAGUAUUUUGGGUAUUGACAGAAUUGGAAAAUGAGAGAGAGAUCUGAAAAAAAAGAGGCUUCACCAGAUUAUAAUACACAGAGAAAAUGAAAAUACAUUAUCUGGAGAUUCAUUAUGCAACGUUAAAGCAGCCAGAGGAAUGUCAGAGGUUAGGCCCUAGACUAGCCAUGCUUUAAUACAAGGAAGCAAGGAAGCUCAAGGACUCUGACUUAAUAUUUACUUUUCUUUUUUUUCCUGGCAGAUUAAAGUUAUGUUUUGUGUUCUUCUGUUUUUGGACUGAGGUGAAGAAAGCUCAAGGCACUUGCUGUGUUAAGGUGGAGAAGUACAUGUGUCUUUAUUUUUCAGGGUCAGGAUGUGAUAUUUCGUGUUUUUGCAUGUUUGUUUUUUCUCCUUUUCAUUUCACUAGAACACUUUUUAAUAGGACUUUUCUUGAUAUUUGUUUGCACACAUAAUAUUUUGUUAUGUUUAAAAGUUUUAUAGGUGAUGGAACUGCCUAUUAUUAAAAUUACCUAAUGCUUCCUAUAUUAUGAAACCUUGAUUUUGUCUACUUAUAAUAGUGCCAAACUGUAACUGUUUUGACUAAAGUUUUCCAUGCCAAGUAGCUGUCCCAGGCUGUACUUUUCUGGAAAGCUCCAGCCAAAAUAGUUCUGCCAUUUCUAGGAAUGAUACAAGGAAAAAAUAUGUAUUUUUGCCCAUGUCACUAAAGUUCUUGAAAUCCUUGCUUUGGAAUGUGCCAGUGCUCCUAAACCUAGUGAAAAUUUUCAGGGGGUUGGCAAGAAAAGGUAGGCCUUUGGUGGAUUUUUUGCUACUUAGUGAAGAUGCAGAUAAAAACCCUUAAGUUUUAUGGAUAAAAAACUCCAGAGCAUCACCGGUGUCUCAAUGUCCUUAGAACUUUCUCUACUUGGUAGGUGCCAUCCCUCACCAAGAAACUGAGCAUUCCCUAACUCACAGUGGUAGAGACAAAGACAAACUCUCUGGCUUAUUUGGACACUAAAACAAGAGCAGGGAAAGGGAGAGCCUCAUAAUGAAGAUGUGGAUGCUAGUCUGGAUAACUAAAUUCUCUUCCUAUCUCAGCUCUAGAUAUGCGAUACUGGGAAAGUAAGUGAAACCAACCUUUGCAUAGAUUGCUGCUAACAGAAUGUGCUUCAUUUUCUUGGUACCCAGCCUCAGAUUGUGGAAACAAAUUUGAAGAAGUGAAGACUCCCAGCUGCAACACAGGUCAAUGGGAGCUGUAAAUAAAACCCAAGGUAUUUCAGCCUAGAUGCUCAAAAUUAAUGGAUAUUAUUAACUGUAAUCUCCCUGCUUCAGUUCUGCAUUUGUAGGUUGUGCAUAAAACCCAUCAUCUCACAUGGAUAUUGUGGAUAUAAUUAAUAUUUGCAAAGCUUUCAAAAAUAUGAUGAUGAGCAUCAUAAAAGAAAACUCAUGGGGUAGUUAAUAAAUGUCUUUAGAGAAGGGUUUGAAUAGUGUGCAACAAAGAUGGCAUAAGGCCAUCCACUGAACAAUGGGACCAUGUAUUGAACAAUGAAGUAAAUAUUGAACAGCUGUUCAUUAAGCAAGAACCAUCCAAUCUGAGCACUGAAAAGGCUAGGGUGCUGUUGAAAAAAUUUUGUGAUCAUGUAAUUAAAGCCUGUAUUAAAAUGCAUAUGCACAAGAUAAAUCAGCUGACGUUGCAUGGGCAAGCUUAUUUCUAGCACGCUCCCACUUUUGCAUAUGACUUUAAAAUGUUAUUUUAAUGUUAUUUUUUAUACAUGGGUGUUCAAUAAAAACAUAUGCUCACCUGUUAACGAAUGCAAUAAGCAAUAGAGAUAAAAAGAUGAGGAAAAUAGAAAAAACACGGAGGUUAUGCUGAGAAAGGGUGUCUCUGAAUGGAGAAGAAGAAUAAAGUGGAUGCAGAGAAGGGGAGAAUACGGAAGGAUGUUCUCAUUAGUGCCUGGGAGGUCUGUAGGACAACAUGGAAAGACUUUCAUUCUCCAUCACAUAAAUGCUUCAUACUUCCAGUUGAAAAGUGCACUUAAAGUAAUGGUUUUCAAAUACAUUUCUGAAAAUGAGAUGUGGAAUUCCCAUUGAUUUCAUCAACUGUUGAACCUUUUAGGCAAUGUUCAAAAAAUACCAGCCUUAGAUUUUUCCACAUCCAUUACAGAUCAGCGUUCGCUUCAUUGACAUCCAGCUGACUUCCUAAAUAAUAUUGCUUUCUCAGCAGCUUAGCAAAAAAGUGACUACACGUCCAGUUAUUGUUAUCCACAUGCUUCCAUCUCAUUCAACAUCUUAUAUCAAGUUUGAAUGACACUACCCUGUUACAAGAGUCUUAUAUUUAAUAGCUUAUAUUGCAAAUAUUUUCCCCUUGAAUUUUACUGCAAAACAAGCGAAGCUAAAAUAAUAGCUAAGAAACAAGCCUGAAAAUACUUAACACAAGAGUUGACACUGGAAGGCAGUAAAAUCAUGUAGAAUGUAUUACGGUGAGCUGUCAACGAGUUGUCCUUUGUAGUCAGAGAACUGUAUUCAUUUGUAUUCUCUUCAAAUACACAUUUGUAUCCUUUUGGUUUUUUUUUUUUUGGUCACAAGCCAUUUUGGAGAUCAGUUAUGAAUGGUCACUGAGCAAUUGCUGUCCAUAAUCCUCCCAGUGUUAUUUUAUUUUCUCUGCCUUUUGGGCUCAUUAACUUAUCUACUGUAAACUUUGGUACAAUUAUUGUGGUUUUUACAAGAUCUUAUAAUGUUCAGUUUGACAAAGUUGGAACUUCUAGCUCCUCUAGCAAGAGUAUAUAAAAAGGUUAAUCCAGAGUAAAUUUGUUUCCAUAAUUUUUAGACUAAGACUAGAUUAAAUAUGGCCGCAAAUUGUUCUUUAAAUUAAAGAACCAGAAGCACAAGUAAGUGUAAAAUAAAGUGAGAAAUAGACUGGGUGCAGUUGCUGUUAAUAAAUACUGAUAUUCUGCACACAUAACCCCGUGAUAUUGCUAUGAUUUGAUCUUUCAAGAGCACAUUCUAAGAAAAAGUUAUGCUGAAGAUAUUAAAAUAUUAUUAUUGACCUAACCAUUUAAUAUUAACAGAGGUAGGGAUGACCAUAAUGAAUUUGAGGGUCUCUAGCUCAGAACUAGACGUUCUUUAAUAAAAGCUUUUUACUUCACAUAGCUUGACCUUUAUACUAGGGUUUUAUUACUUCUAUAACAUAUCCUUUCUUUAUAAUUACUUGUGCUUCUCUAAAAUGCUAGCCUUGAUUGUUUGGAAUGAUCAAUUGUAACAACGAUUUUUUUAUGGUACUGUUAGAAAAAUAGGAAGAAAAACUUUAAAGAGACUAGUAUUGCACUCUGCAACACAGGGCACUGUAUUAAACACAUCGAAUUUCCCUUAAAUAUACAUGAUACAACUUCAUCAUUAAACUCCAUUUGAAGUUUUCUUUACUUAACUUACAUUAUCUCAGUGGGCAAUCGUUCCCUGGAACAUUUGGAAACAAAUGGUAAUUUCAGUUCUAACCAGCACACAGCCUUUCAGAAAACAUGCUUUGCCAAUCAUUAUGCCAUGUUCUGGCCUAUAAUUUUAAUAACCUUAUCAAACUAAAGAAGAAAAAUGCACAAAUCAUGGGAAUACAUGAUUAUGUAAAUGAGCACUAGCAAUAUUAUUUUCAUACUAUAUAACCCACAAAAAGAGAGAGAAUACAGAAUCAAAUAAAAGAAGAUUAAUGAACAUACGUGCAAUGGGUGAAUAUUAGAGUAAGUGCAGUACAAAACACCCAUACUGCUUCAGGAAUUUUAAUUAAACAAUUAUCCAUAACAUAUUUCUUAUGAAUUUAUUGAACUUUUACUUGCUUUGCACCUUAAGAAAUUUGGAACUCUGUGAAUUCAAAGCAGAGUUUAAAUAAAAGCAAUAUGAAGUAAAAUAAAGAUUUUUUUUUAGUUUAUAUCAAAUCUCUUAGUAAAUCAAAUUACUUAAAGCAAUAGGGCUCAAUGGUGUAUUUAUUCUGAAUCUAUAGUAUUCUAAAGUAACAAUUUUUAUAUUAGAAUGAAACUUGAAACCUGGCCUAUUCCAUUCAGAUUUUUAUUCAGUUUGAGAGCAGGGUUUUAAUGUGCUUGGAAUUUAUGGGGCUAUCAAUGAUCCCAUAAAUAGUUCAGUCAAAGGGAAGUGCCAUGAUUGAACAUUAGAAAUUUAAACUACUUAAAUCAGUUCAAAUAUACAUUCAUACAUAGUAAGAAUACACAACCAUGAUUUUUUUCCAGUAGGCACUAAAUCCCACAGUUAUUCUAAGGUCUAGUUAUUGGUAUAUACAGCAUAGUUAUCUGGUAUUAAGUAUUCUUUUGCAGCUGCUUAGUAAAAAUUUAGUUAAAGCCCUGUGGUCAAUAUGAUUCUAGAAUAAAUGAAUCUUCUUAAAAUUACUUAAGAAUAAAAUCAUCAUGUUUCUAAAAACUGCAUAGGUAGAAUUAUUAUAGAGUGAUUAUAGUAGAAUAUGCCUCAAUUUCCCCAGGUAAACAAAUCCCUAUUUUGACUUCGUGAUUAAAAUUCUUCUAAAUUUGGCUUUUAAAAUAUUGUUUUGCUUUGGUUUAACUCACUGGUAGGUGUAACUGCCAGCAAUUUACACACAUCUUAGUUUGGUAUAAUGCUUCUUUUAUUUGAAAGAAUUUUAAAACAACUGGGAAUGCAUUAGUUUAUAAUUCAUACCCUUCUUAAUUCAAGAUUCUUUUUGAUUUGAGAAGCAGUUAGCUUCAGAUGACUCUACAAGUGUGUGGAGGGGUUCUACCUUAUAUUUGUGUGAUGCAAUUUUUGUUGUGUGUCUUUGAAUGCAAAUGCUGUUUAGAGUUUAAAAAGUGUUAUUUAGAACGUGUAAGACAUUCCCUGCACUCAUUUUUCUCCAGUUGUCCAGCUUAUUAAAUUAACAUUACCUAUAAAUUAAUUAUAAAUUUAUUUCUGCAGUUUCUGGAGCAUCUGUCUUAAAAUAAGCGUGUUAACCCUUCAUAGAACCGAAGUGCUCAAACUCUGCCCAAGUCACUUGAAAGUCUCCUUCAUAAUGUACUGCUUAGGGAACUCGCCUCUUCUUGAGGCUGAAGUCAUUUGAAACUGGUUGGCUGUGUGGUUAUGAAUGCAAAUGUCUUGGAAAAGAAAGAAAGAAAGACAAAAGCAACCUUCAUCUUCAUAUAGCUAUGAGAAUGUAAGUGGAACAGGGAGCACAGAUGAUGUCUGAUCUCUGGACUGCUUCUAUUUCUUUUGUCUAGAGAUGGCCUAAUGCAGUGUUUGUUCUGGGGAAUUGGGUCUGGGACUCCACAUGUGACCCUUCCACGGGGAUUACUGGUCAUCCCCUCCUCUGCCCUUCUGGUCUCGUGACUUUUGCAUUCCUGCUCAUAUAUUGACUCAGCUUGAAAGUAGGCAUGGAAAAUUUUGAACAGUCUGCUUGAGGAGAGUUCUCUUGAAACACAAAAGAUGUUUCAAGUGCCCUCAAGUUUAACAUGGGGGCAAAUUUUCUAUACAGAAGGCAAUUCUGUGUAUGGCAAGCAGGGUGCAGAGCAUGGGGGAGAACAAUACAUCUACUAUUGACCGAUUGCGCAAAGAGCGCUUUGCUUUUAACAUCUUGAGUGGAGCCUGAAUCGAGUGGAACUUAGCCAUUUGUGCUGGGAAGACUGGAUCAUUCUUCCAAAGCCAGGUAUCAGGUUGCAAAUCAGAAGGGUUAACUGCUCCCUAAGGGCUGUAUAUCUGGGAGCCAUGGCCAGCAGGACAGGGGCCUUGCCAGCCCUGUCCCACUGCCUCCAAGCAAGGGAGCAAGGCAGGCCUAGGGAUGGCAGCUGGGAUCAGCUGAGAGUCCAGGUCAUCAUGUAAGUCCAUGGUGAAAGGCAGACUGGGGUGAAGCCAGGAGUGCAAGUCAGGGUCAGGAUCAGGUUUGGUAAUGUUAACUAGGAUUGGACACAGUCCAGUGAUCCCCAGAAUGGUCCAAGAUUAAGCCAGGACCUGGGUCUACAGGUCUGAGUCUGAAUCAACAGGGUCCAUGGUCAGACAUGGAGGCAGGUACACCUAUGACACCUUUGACACAGCUCAUGAAGGAACUGAAGGCACAGGCCUGAGCUGGGGCUCCUGAGCCCAUGGGCAGUAGGUAAGGGUGAUGGCCCCAAGUGAGGCCAGUCAGGGCCCUGACACCAGAUAUUUGCAAUUGAGUCACAUUUGAACCUAAGAUAUGUGCCCCAAUAGAAGUAUUGAUCAACAAUCUUUGCUUUACCCCAAGAAGAAUUUUCAGCACCCCACCACUUGACCUUAUUUCCUGACUUGGUCCAGAAUGUUUUCCUGACUUGGUCCAGUGGUCUAAUGGACCAAAUGGAUCUGUAGGUGUCAUAGUUUGUCAGACAAAAAGAUUUACUUUAUGUUCUCACAGCAGGAAUUCAGGCCAUCUAACUAUGGGCACAAAGCUUUGUGUCACUUUUUGUAAUACAGGCAGUGUGCAGCGUAGUCAUGUGUCUGGGCAAGCCUGAGUCCCUGAAAGAGAGGAGGAAUUAGAAAUGCAUUCUGAAGCAGUGAUUAAUCAGUGGAUAAGCUGCAUCAUGGACUGUCACGGUGGAGGAGAAUUCUGGGAGUAUCGGAUAAUAUUCAUGCUCAGUGGUGGGAAAGAGCAGCUGGUGACCAGUCAGAAAUGAAGACCUGGGAAGAGUAGUCAAGACAAAGUGCAGGAAUUUGUACCAUUCAAAUUCAAGUCUAACAAAUAUUUUCAUAUUCCACCAGAUAUUUAGGACCCUAUAUGAAAAGGCAUGGGUGUUUACUUUCCUAGCUGUAGCAAGAGGAGAGAUACCUAGGACUAGGCCUUGCAAAUCCACACUUCUGCAAGUCCUCUAGACUCUACUGAAGAAUUCAAGACUGAAACCUCACUUAAGAUGCUUUUAAUCAUUCUGUUGACAGAAGGAAAGGUUUUCUUCUAUGGAUAGAAAUACUGGUCACUUUGAAACUUUUCAUAUCUGUAAUUGUAUGUUUGGGGGAAUUGUAGUCUUAUGUAUAAAAUAUUAAUGGAUUACAUUAUUGUAAUCCAAUCUACAUCUACUCUAUGUGUCUUUUUUUUUUUAUUUCCUUGCUUUGCCAUCCCCCUCUGUAAGUGUUUUGUGGAGCUUCUACUAGGUCUUGCUUUUCAGAGUAGUGUGAGUUUCUUAAUAUCCCAAUGGGCCUUCCGAGGUUAAAAUUUUUGUCAGUAACUUUUAUUCCUUCUUAAAAAAAUCCAUUUUGAAGCUCUGUGGAAUUUAGGGAGAGUCCUUCCAUGCUCUUUGGGUUGUAUUUAAUUGUUUUCCUCAUAAAUCACAUACUUUGUUUUGAUGCAAAACACAGCGACAGAAGAGAAUCUGAUAUUUUAUGUAACUGGCAUGUCAUUUUUAAGAUCUCCAUUAGACAAAACAUUUGUUUAGAUAUUCUGUUAUUAAUUUAUUUUCAUGUCAACACCAAAACCAACUGCAGAAAUGAACAGAGAUGAAUAAUAAGACAAACUGUUUUAGUAUCAAUGUACUCUGCCUAAGGCAAUAUACUGUGCAACUGGUGAAGAAUGCUUAUUUCCUUCCCAAAACCUCUGCUGAGAACCAGCUCUUAUAAACAAUCUCUUAUUCCUUUGUUUUAAGGGACUAUUUUCAACUACCUCCAAGACAAAAUUUCAGUUGAUAUUUCACUUAAAAGAUCUUUAUGGUAAAUUGGUAAAUAAUACCUAUCAGUUAUGGUUAUCUUCUCUACUGUUGCAUUAUCUUUGUUGUGUCUGCUCUUUGCCAAUUGCUUUUCUCAAUGUAGUAAAUAAAAAAGACAGUAUACAGGAAAUAAACAAAAAUGGUCUCAUUAUCAGACAGAUUGGACAA